GGCUGGUCCGAUGGUAGUGGGUUAUCAGAACUUACUAAAAUCAGUGUCACUAAAGUUGGUAUACAAUCCCCCCACUGCUAUUUGACUCGCUUAAA
ensembl:misc_RNA Y_RNA Y RNA